rnacentral:tRNA from 132 species
GGCCCGGUAGCUCAGUCGGUAGAGCAGAGGAUUGAAAAUCCUUGUGUCGGUGGUUCGAUUCCGCCCCAGGCCACCA